rnacentral:lncRNA from 1 species
GCCAGGCUGGUCUCAAACUCCUGACCUCAGGUGAUCCUCUGGUGCAUGUUUUAAUGGGGCCAAAAGGAGAUGACACAAGGGCAAGGGGAACCAUAGGCAUCUGUGCAACUCCUGAGUUGCAUGAAAAGGAAGACAAGUUGAUGUGCCUGCUUCCCCUUCCACCGUGAUUGAAGAUUGUCAUUUCGAGGAGUGAGUACUUGUUCAUACCGAAAACUGCAGAGAGGACAAGCAAGAUAACCGAAAAAAAUCCAAGAGUCCUUUGGAGGCAGCUAUACGGACUUAAAA